AUUGAACGCUGGCGGCAGGCCUAACACAUGCAAGUCGAGCGGAUGAAGGGAGCUUGCUCCUGGAUUCAGCGGCGGACGGGUGAGUAAUGCCUAGGAAUCUGCCUGGUAGUGGGGGAUAACGUCCGGAAACGGGCGCUAAUACCGCAUACGUCCUGAGGGAGAAAGUGGGGGAUCUUCGGACCUCACGCUAUCAGAUGAGCCUAGGUCGGAUUAGCUAGUUGGUGGGGUAAAGGCCUACCAAGGCGACGAUCCGUAACUGGUCUGAGAGGAUGAUCAGUCACACUGGAACUGAGACACGGUCCAGACUCCUACGGGAGGCAGCAGUGGGGAAUAUUGGACAAUGGGCGAAAGCCUGAUCCAGCCAUGCCGCGUGUGUGAAGAAGAUCUUCGGAUUGUAAAGCACUUUAAGUUGGGAGGAAGGGCAGUAAGUUAAUACCUUGCUGUUUUGACGUUACCAAAAGAAUAAGCACCGGCUAACUUCGUG
rnacentral:rRNA from 1 species